ACGGUCAUAUCACGUCGAAACAUCGGUUCUCAUACGAUCACCGAAGUUAAGCUACGUCGAACCUGCCCGUUACCUAAAAGGGUGACUGCUCGGGAAUAUCAGAUGCUGUAAG